UGGGGAAUAUUGGACAAUGGGCGCAAGCCUGAUCCAGCCAUGCCGCGUGAGUGAUGAAGGCCCUAGGGUUGUAAAGCUCUUUCACCGGUGAAGAUAAUGACGGUAACCGGAGAAGAAGCCCGGGCUAACUUCGUGCCAGCAGCCGCGGUAAUACGAAGGGGGCUAGCGUUGUUCGGAUUUACUGGGCGUAAAGCGCACGUAGGCGGACUAUUAAGUCAGGGGUGAAAUCCCGGGGCUCAACCCCGGAACUGCCUUUGAUACUGGUAGUCUUGAGUUCGAGAGAGGUGAGUGGAAUUCCGAGUGUAGAGGUGAAAUUCGUAGAUAUUCGGAGGAACACCAGUGGCGAAGGCGGCUCACUGGCUCGAUACUGACGCUGAGGUGCGAAAGCGUGGGGAGCAAACAGG
rnacentral:rRNA from 1 species